CCUACGGGAGACAGCAGUGAGGAAUAUUGGUCAAUGGACGAGAGUCUGAACCAGCCAAGUAGCGUGAAGGAUGACUGCCCUAUGGGUUGUAACCUUCUUUUAUAAAGGAAUAAAACGAGGCACGUGUGCCUUUUUGCAUGUACUUUAUGAAUAAGGAUCGGCUAACUCCGUGCCAGCAGCCGCGGUAAUACGGAGGAUCCGAGCGUUAUCCGGAUUUAUUGGGUUUAAAGGGAGCGUAGAUGGGUUGUUAAGUCAGUUGUGAAAGUUUGCGGCUCAACCGUAAAAUUGCAAUUGAUACUGGCAGUCUUGAGUACAGUUGAGGUAGGCGGAAUUCGUGGUGUAGCGGUGAAAUGCUUAGAUAUCACGAAGAACCCCGAUUGCGAAGGCAGCUUACUAAACUGUGACUGACAUUGAUGCUCGAAAGUGUGGGUAUCAAACAGGAUUAGAUACCCUGGUAGUC
rnacentral:rRNA from 1 species